UACCAGCACCCCGAGUGGUCGGGACGAUUAUUGGGCCUAAAGCAUCCGUAGCCGGUUUUACAAGUCCUCCGUUAAAUCCAGCUGCUUAACAGAUGGGCUGCGGAGGAUACUAUAAGACUAGGAGGCAGGAGAGGCAAGCGGUACUCAGUGGGUAGGGGUAAAAUCCGUUGAUCCAUUGAAGACCACCAGUGGCGGAGGCGGCUUGCCAGAAUGCGCUCGACGGUGAGGGAUGAAAGCUGGGGGAGCAAACCGG
rnacentral:rRNA from 1 species